CGGGUCCUUCUAAUUCGAUGUCGGGAGCAUUACUCCCUCAUCACCAUCCAUCUCCUCUCUGAGCAGCCACCCAUCUCCUCUCUGGUUGGUCGGAAUAGCAAGACAGAAAGGAGUUCAGCAAAUCCGACGACCACAGCGUUAGAUUACUCCUUGAGGUCGGAUCCGUGCUCGAGCUUAGAUCUGUGAUCGAGGUCGGAUCCGUGUUUGAAGCGUUACCUUUCUUCCUGGGUUUUGGCUUCUGGAAUCAGUGUUCUGUAGAGAAAUAUUUCUGGGUUUGGUUCUUUUCCAUUCAAUGCGCUUUUGCUUGUUUAGGGAGAUCCUGUAUAUGCUGAGAAGAUAAGCCGCGCUUGUUUCACUGGGCUAAUAUUCGAGCAGGGAUUGCUAGAGGAACUCAAACUUAAAGAAGAUGAGCUGCAAGCCAGAUGGCAAAAGCAACUGCAGGAGAUGGAGAAAACCAGUGAAUCUCCUUCUCAACAAGAAAGCACUAGGAAAUCCACUCCCUAAAACUUCAUAGAGGUGACCCCUUGUCUGGAACCCGCAAUGUGUUGUGGAAGCAACCUCGAAUCCGUAAUCUAGUUGCACGACCUGGAUGCCAGCGGUGAUUUGAAAGACUUUAAUAUGUCACUGUGAGUUUCUCUGCCACAGAGCUUGGAAAUAGGGAAUCUCAAGUAAAAUUUCAAUUUUCAAUUAAUGUGUGGACCUUUCAUGUCUUUUCUUAGAGAAAUUUGAGACCUGUAGUCUUUUCAUGAUUUUAUUCAUUGAAGUAUGGGAAUAUAUUAAAAAAAAG
rnacentral:lncRNA from 1 species